GUGGCGCGGCUCAUUUGCCUAAUCCAUCCAGCGGGGAAGACGGGAUUAUCUUAUCUGCUUUGUACUAUCCAUCCAGCAAGUGGCGUUGUUGUCUCCAUCAUCUAGUAGGUGUGAUGGGGGUGGGGGUAGUAUUAGUUCCCUCUUCUCUAUGUCUAUGAUUGAAGGAACCAAGAAACCCAGCGAUGCAUUGCAGAUUAUAGUAGAUAGAAUUCUGUCUGUUUGGAUGAAGUUGAUCGAAUAAACAACAGCAAGUCGCCUGAGUUAUCCAAGUUUUAAACUUUUAAUAGUGUCCGGCACACAGUGAGAAGCGAGGCCGGCCUAGUGAGUAUCUGGUGAUACCGCGGCUCAGGUGCUACCGUGAUACGAGCUCCUGGGCCGUCGGAUCCCAGAUCCAAUGGCAAACAGGGAGCUGCUGUAGCUGCUGUAUUUGUGCGCAUUUUUCAGAUUUUACGAGGGCUUUUUUGCAAAAAUGUCAUCAUUUCACAGGAGCUCUUGGAUCUAAGAUCCAAUGGCCGAGCUCGCACGGGAGCACCUAAGCUUAGGUGCUCCCGGAGCACCUGAUAUUUUCCCGCCGGCCUAGUCAUGAGAAAAGAAUCCUGGAAUCCGUGGUUGUUACAUUAUCCAUUCAAGGGAUCCAUAUGUUAAUUGGAUCUGGAAGGAAGAAUCUUUCUCGAAAGAAAGUGGAGAAAAGAGAG
rnacentral:lncRNA from 1 species